UACGUAGGGAGCAAGCGUUGUUCGGAAUCACUGGGCAUAAAGGGCGCGUAGGCGGGCCGUAAAGUCAGGGGUGAAAUCCUCCAGCUUAACUGGAGAACUGCCUUUGAUACUGACGGCCUCGAGUGAGGUAGGGGCGUGCGGAACUGAUGGUGGAGCGGUGAAAUGUGUUGAUAUCAUCAGGAACUCCGGUGGCGAAAGCGGCACGCUGGACCUUUACUGACGCUGAGGCGCGAAAGCCAGGGGAGCGAACGGG
rnacentral:rRNA from 1 species